rnacentral:lncRNA from 1 species
UCCCCCUUUCCUGUCCUAAAAAAAACCCAAGAGCUUAAUUAAAGUACCGCAAGUUGUAACAGUUCUGCAAAUGCCAAAAAGAGAAAACAUACAAAAAUGGUUUCCAGGUCCAGGGUAAUGAUGCCCUUUGUAAGCUGCCAUCAAGCCGGGGUUUAUGCCAAUUAUUACGAUGUCCAGAUCGAAGGUCAAAAUAUCAGGUAAAGUCUUUGUCAGCAGCUCAGCUUCAGACACACCAUUAAAACGGUCCACUUUUCUUUUCACUUUAAAAGUGUCCGUAAUCUUUUCUUGUUUCCCUUUCGACUUGGUCGCUUUUUCUUUCUUAGCAGCAGGCUUUUUGGGUUGCUUUGGCUCAGUUGCUUUGGCUUUUCUCUUCCUUCCACCCUUUUU